GUCUACAGCCAUACCACCCUGAACACACCCGAUCUCGUCUGAUCUCGAAAGCUAAACAGGGUCGGGCCUAGUUGGUACUUGGAUGGGAGGAAUAUAGGUAAUCUUGUUU
rnacentral:rRNA from 1 species